rnacentral:rRNA from 1 species
GUCGUCUUCGGACGGCGAGUAAAGUGGCGGACGGGUGAGUAACACGUGGAUGAUCUGCCCUUUGGCGGGGGAUAACCCGGCGAAAGCCGGGCUAAUACCGCAUGAGCUCCUGGGAGCGAUUUUGGGAGGAAAGGCCCUUCGGGGCCGCCGAAGGAGGAGUCCGCGGCCGAUUAGCUGGUUGGUGGGGUAAUGGCCUACCAAGGCGUCGAUCGGUAGCCGGUCUGAGAGGACGGACGGCCACACUGGGACUGAGACACGGCCCAGACUCCUACGGGAGGCAGCAGUGGGGAAUUUUGCGCAAUGGGCGAGGAGCCUGACGCAGCAACGCCGCGUGGAGGAAGAAGGCCUUCGGGUCGUAAACUCCUGUUCACGGGGAAGAACGAUCUGACGGUACCCGUGGAGGAAGCCCCGGCUAACUCCGUGCCAGCAGCCGCGGUAACACGGGGGGGGCGAGCGUUGUUCGGAUUUACUGGGCGUAAAGGGCGCGUAGGCGGCGCCGGAAGUCCUGGGUGAAAGGUGCCGGCUCAACCGGUCACAGUGCCUGGGAAACCACGGUGCUUGAGUGCUGGAGAGGGAAGCGGAAUUCCUGGUGUAGCGGUGAAAUGCGUAGAUAUCAGGAGGAACACUCGAGGCGAAGGCGGCUUCCUGGACAGACACUGACGCUGAGGCGCGAAAGCUAGGGGAGCAAACAGGAUUAGAUACCCUGGUAGUCCUAGCUGUAAACGAUGGGUACUUGGUGUGGGGGGUGUCGAUUCCCUCCGUGCCGGCGAUAACUCGUUAAGUACCCCGCCUGGGGAGUACGGUCGCAAGGCUGAAAC